UCCCUGGUGGUCCAGUGGGUAAGACUCUGCAUUCACAAUGCAGGGGGCCUCGGUUCAAUCCCUGGUCAGGGAA